rnacentral:rRNA from 1 species
AUUUUUACAAUGAAGAGUUUGAUCCUGGCUCAGGAUGAACGCUAGCGGCAGGCUUAACACAUGCAAGUCGAGGGGCA